rnacentral:rRNA from 1 species
GACGAACGCUGGCGGCGUGCCUAAUACAUGCAAGUCGAACGAACUCUGGUAAUGAUUGGUGCUUGCAUCAUGAAUUACAUUUGAGUGAGUGGCGAACUGGUGAGAACACGUGGGAAACCUGCCCAGAAGCGGGGGAUAACACCUGGAAACAGAUGCUAAUACCGCAUAACAACUUGGACCGCAUGGUCCGAGUUUGAAAGAUGGCUUAGGCUAUCACUGUUGGAUGGUCCCGCGGCGUAUUAGCUAGCUGGUGAGGUAACGGCUCACCAUGGCAAUGAUUCGUAGCCGACCAGAGAGGGUACUCGGCCACAUUGGGACUGAGACACGGCCCAAACUCCUACGGGAGGCAGCAGUAGGGAAUCUUCCACAAUGGACGAAAGUCUGACGGAGCAACGCCGCGUGAGUGAAGAAGGGUUUCGGCUCGUAAAACUCUGUUGUUAAAGAAGAACAUAUCUGAGAGUAACUGUUCAGGUAUUGACGGUAUUUAACCAGAAAGCCACGGCUAACUACGUGCCAGCAGCCGCCGCGG